AACGAACGCUGGCGGCAUGCCUAACACAUGCAAGUCGAACGAGACCUUCGGGUCUAGUGGCGCACGGGUGCGUAACGCGUGGGAACCUGCCCUUAGGUUCGGAAUAACUCCCCGAAAGGGGUGCUAAUACCGGAUAAUGUCUUCGGACCAAAGAUUUAUCGCCUUUGGAUGGGCCCGCGUUGGCUUAGCUAGUUGGUAGGGUAAAAGCCUACCAAGGCGACGAUCCAUAGCUGGUCUGAGAGGAUGAUCAGCCACACUGGGACUGAGACACGGCCCAGACUCCUACGGGAGGCAGCAGUGGGGAAUAUUGGACAAUGGGCGAAAGCCUGAUCCAGCCAUGCCGCGUGAGUGAUGAAGGCCUUAGGGUUGUACAGCUCUUUUACCCGGGAUGAUAAUGACAGUACCGGGAGAAUAAGCACCGGCUAACUCCGUG
rnacentral:rRNA from 1 species